UGGAUAGAUUAUUGUAUUCGACUGUAUUCACGGCGUGAAACAUGGGAUUACACUGUUUUUAAACGGAAAGUGAAUCAAUUAACAUAAUAGACUCCU
rfam:Nicotiana attenuata strain TT chromosome 1, whole genome shotgun sequence.